UCGCUUCAGCUGGCACUUGAGUUGUUUGAAAUCAAAAGGUCUAGUGUCCACGCGUUGUGUUUUGCUCACAUUUGGCUGCCUGGCCUGGAAUCCCCCUGCUGAUGCAGUGUGCGCAGCCAGCCCUUAGCCAGAGCAGUGCUUUAUUGGCCCUGGAGUGUGUCCCCUUGUUGUUGUAACACUUGCUCUUUGCGAGCGUGUGCUAGCCUUGAUGUUUAAUCUUUGUGAAGCAGUAGCUUGUGAGCAUCAGACGUAUUUCUCUCAUAAUGACUGAAGUUAGGCAAGAAGUCAAAACUUAAUAUGCCUGUGAGCUCUUGCCAGUGUUUUCUGGAUUCAUGCCUUAAGAGAGGAACACGAAGGACGGCUCGAGUGGCUCCAAUCCAAAUAAAGCAUUAUUCAGAGCUGCACUCCAGGAAUCGUUGUUUUCCACCACUCAGAGCUAUCAGUGGAGCUGGUUGUUCUCACAGUUAUUUCUAGCUGGGGUGAAGCUUCUGAAACAGUAAGCACUCCUGGGUUUAUGUGGUGGUCUGUUAUGACUAAUUCUCCAGAUUAUCAUCUACAGCAGGCAGUUUGUAAAUCAUCCAUCCAGGGAGCAAUUGAUAGCCAAGGCCUAAUGGAAUGGCGAUUCCACAUCUCCCUCUGAGCCCAAACGGAGACUUGGAAAUUACAGAGCUUCCUUCUCUUAAACUGCUGUUGCUCUGUGAUGCAGUACAUGGAGUGGUGAGCUUCUGAGGAGCAGGAGACAGGGGUGAACAGAGUGAGUACAGCAUCAACGGGUCAGUUAGUGGCAAUGGGAAAUAAUCAAGUGCUUGUGAGUGGGCUGUAUGGGUGUGAUGAUCCCUUUAUUGUUCUUUUGGAAUCAAGAAGGUGCAAGCAAAUGUUUGUUUAUGGCGCUUUUAUUUUUCUCCCUGGACUUCUUUCUCUGGAAAAUCAGACACUUCCCUGGAAGCAGGGAGACCUACAGGAAGUAUUUGCUGGCUAGAAACAGAGUGGUGAAGCUCUUCCCAAAAGAAUCCAGCUUGUUUCUUGGUGUCUUCCUGCAGACUAAGCCCUUCUUUUAAAGCCUGACUUUCUUCUCGGCACGAUUAUUUUUUGGCUGUUAGAUUCACAUUCUGUGAUUUGCAUGCCCAAAGGGGCCAACUUUCAGCAUCUUAAAAGCCUCUUCUGAAUUCUAGGCAAAGAUUAAUCUGCUGGGCUGGAGGAAAGCGAGUAGUUUUCUCUGGUUGAAUUUAGUGCUGGAAAAGAAAUCAGAGAAAAAAAAGCAGUUAUCAUUUAAAGCUUUUCUAAGCGCAGAGGACUGAAGGAAAUUAAUUUUACAAUAUUCUUACAAUAUUCUAUUUGCUGUUCCAGUUACAUUUUUGCAAGGUUCUUGGAGUAGUUUGAAAACCUAUGCCUAGGAAAUCUACACUAGAAAGCAGUUUUAAUGCAGUUCUUUCAUAACUAUUGUAGUGUCCCUCUGUGCCAUUUCCCUCCUCGUCGUUAGGACAGUUUGUAGCCCAGUAACUGAUGAAGGAAACAGAAGACUUGUCUCUGUAAACUGGCCUCUGGCUGUCAGGGCACGGGCAUCUUCACCACCCAAGCUGAGAAGGACAUGAAACCUGGGCAGGAUGUGAUCUGCCAGCUCUACAUCUCAAGGGGAAUGUUCCUAGGAAUGAAUGAAAGUCUAUGAAUGACUGAAAAAAAAUAUAAGAGGUGGAAGGGAGGACACUUGGAGCCUCUGGCUUGGAGAAAAGAAAGGGUAAUGUAUGCAUGCAUCUGACAAAUUAUUCCAUUAACAAGAACAGAGUUAAUUCUGCCAGAGAAAAAGACAUUGGAAGUAAGAGUGCUGCCUGACUUCUUGUUGAAUAAAUCAACUGAAGAAACUCAGAUGAGAAACAGAGCUGGACACCAGAAUUGGGAAGGAAACUCCACAGAGGGAAGUUUGUACUCCAGCUCAGCAGCAUGCAUUUCAGUUUUUGUCUUGAGAUAAAAUGUUUGCCUGCUCUUCCUAAGGACACUGAUUUGUCUAACAAGAUGUUAUCACUCUCCAAACUUUGCCUGUAAUCUUAGCUCAUCAUGCUGUAGCAACCCUACAUCCUCACUGUAUUUGUUAUCUUUGUCAGCUGUGAUAGGCAGAUUUACAGUAGUUUACUUAGACACAUAUUUC